GGGCCCUUAGCUCAGCUGGGUUAGAGCAGCCGACUCAUAAUCGGUAGGUCGCAGGUUCAAGUCCUGCAGGGCCCACCA
rnacentral:tRNA from 1 species